GAGACCGGGAGAGGUUAGAGGUACUCCCAGGGUAGAGGUGAAAUUCUGUAAUCCUGGGAGGACCGCCUGUUGCGAAGGCGUCUAACUGGAACGGUUCUGACGGUGAGGGACGAAAGUUAGGGGCGCGAACCGGAUUAGAUACCCGGGUAGUCCUAACUGUAAACGAUGCGGACUUGGUGUUGGGGUGGCUUUGAGCUGCUUCAGUGCCGAAGGGAAGCUGUUAAGUCCGCCGCCUGUGAAGUACGGUCGCAAGACUGAAACUUAAGGAAUUGGCGGGGGAGCACCACAACGCGUGGAGCCUGCCGGUUUAAUUGGAUUCAACGCCGGACAUCUCACCAGAGGCGACAGCUGUAUGAUAGCCAGGUUGAUGACUUUGCUUGACUAGCUGAGUAGAGGUGCAUGG
rnacentral:rRNA from 1 species